ensembl:lncRNA
UGUCUUGUUCAGCUUCCCAAAGAGCCGGGGAUGGUUUCCCACUGGUUUCCAAAAGGAGAACUUCUCUGUGCUCUGCUGACUGCUGGAGCUCGCAGGCAGUGAUGCUGCAGCAUAUGUGGGAUGGCUGAGCUGAAUUGGCUACCUAUAAACACACCCCAGAUGUUAGCAGGGAAAAGGAAACUGGAAUACAUCAGGAAGCCUUUGGAGUAAAUCCCUCCCAUGGAGCCCCCUCCUCGAGCUGCUAAUGGCUGCGCUUCUCCAGGAGCCAUCAGGGAGGUGGGCGUGCUCUGGGCUGUGUGAUGCGUGUCAAGCACAGCUCUGAAGCCUUCUGGUCAGCGGGAGAUCCCCCAUGAGCUGAGAUGCAGUGGGCUGUAAAGCUGUGUGGUUGUUCUGGAGGCAAACCCUGUGGAGCUGUGCUGAUUGAUGGUGUCUGGAUGAAGAGCUUAUGCCAUCUACAGAGGCAACCCAAAGAGAUAAUCAUCGCCCGCUGACAACCCCUCGCCAUCCAUCACCCGCGCGCGGCGGCUGUCAGCAGAUCCCAGCCCCUACCUGGGGGGAGAGGCACUGCCACUGAGGCAUCUCACAGCACUGUGCAGCAGGAGGAUGGCAGAUAACUUCAGUCAGCUCGAGAGAUUGAUAUGCAAGGCAAAGGGAAGUGCAUUAAGCUAUUUAACUGCCUGGAAAUCCAGCGUGAUGAACAUCCAAAGGAAAACUUACUUUGUCCAAAUCAAGUGCUCAAGUGACAACGAAGUCAAGUGCUUGCAAGGUAGAGAAGGAUAAUUGCUGUAUCCUGAAAGGAUGUGUCCAGUCUGUAUUUCACAGAGCUGAAGCUAACUCUGAAGACUUUGGCUUUGAAUGACCUUGCUUAUUUUUCUGGCUCUCCUACCCUUCAGUAUGGCUGCUACCUAUAUAUUGUGGAAUGAAUGGAGCUGAGGUCAUGGCCCCUGUAGCUGCUCCACGAAAUAUGUCCACUGGGAACUUCAUGGAUUGGCCCCCUGCCCCUCCACUGGUGAGUGUAACAUGCUCUUCCGCAAACUGACAGUGUCCACAUAGGAAAUUAAACUUCAUGUUUGAGUGAGUGAAAGAGAUGGGGGCAGUACACUGGAAGCUGAUUCUCAACCACUCCCUGAUUCACAAGCUAGCCACAACGACAAGUUAAGGCAGCCUGGGAGCCGUUUCAGCAGGCACCGGGCUCACUGAAGAGCCAGCUGCACAUAGCCAGAGAGCAGCGUGCCAUGGCCAUGCUACCUCCAACUGCCUGUCCCAGCUUGUCUCUGUACAGGGGGUCCUGGGGCAGGACCAGUGUUGCCUGCUCCAAAUCCUCACCCCCUUCUUGCUGUUCAAGGCUUAUAAAGGGAAGGUGGAAUAGCAUCUGUGCUUUGCUCUUCAGUCUCAGACACUGUUAAAAAGUAUUUCUAAUAAGGGCAAAUAUGCAUGAGGUUCAAAGGACGCCUUGUUUCUCCUGGUAAUUUUACAGUGCUCCUGCUCAAAGCUCCACUUUCCUCUUAAAGUCAGACUUAAAUUCCUAUUUAAUAGGAAUUUAAUAUUUAAUAGGAACUGAAUAGUUCCUAUUCAGUGACUAAUCCUGUUAACGAGCAUGACAUGUGGAGAUUAUCUUUUUAGUAAUAGUGAAGAUGAUUGUGUAUUAGUAAAGGGUUAAGAAAUGUAAGAAAGUCAUUAAGGGUAUGUUCCUUUUCUUCAAGUCUAUGAACCACAGAGAGCCGGGCUGGGUUUUCUCACAUUAUUGCAGGCUAUAAAUAUCCUUAUUUUUCAGUAAAAGUUAAGUGCAACAAGUGAAGCCCCCAAACCUGUGCUACACCACAGACAUAUAAAGAUAGUAAUUUUUAAAAAGCAAAGGAAAAAAAAAAAAAGACUAACGCAAACUUAUUCUGCCCAGAGGUGGCUUCCAAGACGUCAGACAUUUUGUAAACCAGAGAACACAUCCAGACCAUGCAAAAUUGGGACGGUCUUGUCUUUUCCUGUCUGUUAAUUUUUCCACUCUGAGAGUGUCCAAAACUCUCAGAAAGAAAGGAUUACUGUCUAGGGGUUCAAAAAGCCCUAUUUUCAAAGAAUGGUUUACUCUGACAGGUAACCCCAGCAAGUACACAGGUUGUUCCAUGAAAUGUGAUGUCCCUAAUCUCAAAACAUAAUUCAACAUCUUGAAACCAACUGUUUAUUUUUCUUUUUUACCAGUGUUCACAGUGCUGCUGUAGCCCGGGGUUUAGAUCAGUUAUUUAGCUGCCUACGCCUGGUUUACAAUGCUGUAAACAAAGCAGACCCAGUUUGGUUCAGCGUGUAGGUAAUUCUAUUCACUGUUUUGACGCUAAAUCACUGCACAAGUGUGAGCAAACCACUUGUCUCUUCCUCUCCUUCCUCUUAUUCAAAUUUACCCCGUUGAUCACUUGCAAUAUGACUGUAAUGAAGAUUAGCCCACGAAUACGUACAGAAAAUUCUGGAAGCUCUGUUGAACUGUGGUCACAGGAGGAAUUCUGAGCGCAGAGAUGAGAAUUGAGAAUUGCUGCAAGCUUUCUGGCUGUAAAAAAAAAAAAAAAAAAAAAAGUAUGGAAAAGUCCCCAUGAUUUUCUGGCUGGAGCAGCUAGAAAGAAACGGAUAUGGUCCCCAGCAGAAGUGUGAGCUGAGGUUACCCUGACAUGGUAUUGACUUGACAGCUCCUUCAGGCUCAGCUGUCUUCUGGGCUUCUUUCAGUUGCAAAACGUGCUGAGCCAGAAGUAGGAAAAUAGAAAAUGAUGACUUUAAACUUCACCACACCUAAAAUCACAGUAAGUAUUUAUACUUCAAAUGCUUUUUUUAAUACCUCCAUCUGUGUUUUACUUGGUUCACAUGUUCAGAUUAUUCUCUAAGUUUGUGACAAAACUUUUAUUAUGUAUGUAUGUACAUUAAUGAAAGCUCAGUUUGUUAACUAAUCUCCAGCUAUUGGGAACCAGGUCCUUCCAGAAAAACGUAAAUGUGCAGCAAAGCAAUGAAACAAGCCACAGUUAGUAAGUAAACUGGGCAUCCUGCUUUUAGAGUUCCUAGUGUCAGCAUUUUGUUGCGUUGUUUUAGAGGUGUUGAGGAACUAUUUCCCCAAGUGAUGUUGGGAUCCUCAGUGGGGGCUCCACAUCUCCGUACUUCAGGCAUCUCAAUCGAAGCAGCCAAAAACUGGGUCAAGGCAACGCUCCAAAAUUUUAGUGGUGAGCCUCCAAAAUUCAAGACACUCGGGGAAUGUGUGUUGGGAAUAAUAUGAGAGCGCUGGGGGAAAAAAAAAUGAUGGAGAAGGAGUACUUAAUUUGUACCAAAUAUUGAUAUUUCAAAAUUUGGUACUGUCAGUUUGGAACAAAGCACGCUGUCUGUUUUUAAACCCCUGUGAAAGUCGAGCCAGUUGCCUUUGAGCUUCAGACGCUGUCUGAACCCAUAGGUUCCUAACUUGCCACAAGGCAAUCCAUAUAGCUGGCUGCUUUGAAUCUGCAGGCACGGGGAAUUUUGGAUGCCGGCUUUCAAGGAGUCUCCCCACUGGGUUGCACUGGAACCUGGAAUUGGAGAACGUGGGUUGGCAAGAGCUGAGGUGUCUGGGAGCUGCCGAGCAGCCCCGGAGGCUUCCCAAAUUCCGCUCCCCACCAUCCCGUCUGGGAGGACAGAGGAAGCUGGGCAGCAUUUCUCAGCUCAAAACCUCAGAAUUUGGGAUCCGGGCCCCUGAAACUUUCACCCCCUGUUCCUGGACGGCUGUGGCACGCAGCUGGAGUGCAGAAAGGCGAACUGGCCUCAGCGGAGGCACCUGGUGGCUCUGCAGGUGGCCCCAGGCUGCCGUGUGCUGCUCAGCACCAUUUUGGGGCAAUUUAUCGCAGGAUCAGAGCACUGAGGAGCUACUGUUUGUAUUCGGAUGGGCUCCCUUUCAGCAUGAGGGGGCAAUGCCGGAGGCUGGGCAGCGAGACAGCCCUGUCUGCCCAGCAGUGGAACGGAGGAGCUGGCUAUUCACCUGGAUGCCGUCCUGAGUUAGUCAAAACCAGAGCCUCUCUGCAAAGCACCUAGACCUGAACACACAGUGGUUCUCUGACAAAAAUGUUCCGUCGGAGAACUUCUGACCAGGUCUGGUGGUAAACAGGCUCAAACGACACUCUGGAGAUGAUACAGGGCAAAAAUUAUUCGGGUCCCUGGUCUGCAGAGUGGGAGGAUGAGGGAAGAGAACAGUAAAUUGAAGAGGUUGAAACUGCUGAUUGUCCGAGCCUGACUGAGUGGUGCUCAGCUGUGUGGAAAGAUGUGUGGCAGUUGUUUGCGUUAUUUUUCUUUUUUUUUUCCACAGAAAACAGCCGCCACGAGAGCCGCAUCCCCGUUGCCACGGCUGAGGGUCCCCGCGCUGAGGGGGCCCUGAGGGGCGCUCCCCGCCCCGCGCUCUGAGG